rnacentral:lncRNA from 1 species
UACAUACUUUCCCUUUAACCCCAGAGUUAUUUUUUAAAACUACAUAAUUGCUGUUUUUGUGUAUUAUCUAUAUGGAUCUUUAACAAAACAUGAUUGUUUACAUACUUUCCCUAUAACCCCAGAGUUGGCUUUUAAAACUACAUGAUUGCUGUUUUUGUGUAUUAUCUCAGUGCUCUAAAAUUAUCCUAGCCUACACGCGGGCAUGGGUUAAAGCCCCUUACACAAAUACGGCCAUUUCUCUGGGCCAGGAGCCAGCUGUUCCCAAAAUGGCCACGAUGCCUCAGGAGGGAGGUUGACACCCUGUGCUCUCAGAAGCAGCUCAGAGCUCAGAGGCAGACCUCUACUCAUGCAAUUCUGCCUUCUGUGCAUGCAAUGGAUUGCUGCCAUCUCCAAUCAGCCACAAUGGGAGGCCACCUGCUAGACAUGGAAGAGCCACCGGAUGGAAGAAGCCUGGGUCUCUGAAAUACUGCUUGGAGUAGACUACUCUGCCUGCAAACUAGGAGCACUGAUUUUGGACUUUUUGGGAGGGACUUCUAUGCCCUCUGCAGUUUGCCUCUUCCUCUGCUAUUUUUUCAUGUAUGUGUAUGUUUUUUGCCUGUAUUUGCAAUGCCAGCCAUCAUUUGCCAUGUCUUCUAGCGGCAACCUGCAUUUAGCCCAGAUCUGCUGUGAUUAUUCCUUUUCACAAACCACAAUGACUCUGGAAAACCUGGCUGUAAACACCAGCACUGCCACCAGCUAAGGAUCUGUGAUCAGGAGUGCCAUCUCACGGUAACAGGAAUAUGAAGUCUGAGGUUUCUGCUCUGACAAGAGGAAAUGUCUAACAGCAGAAGACAAAAGUGAAACCGGGCUGAUGCGAAUCACUGGGAAACUGGCUUUGGCACCUCCAGAGAAUGAACUGUUUCAUAGCCUAGCUGACCAUCCAUGAAAAUGGCUGCCUGGAGAGGCAGUGAUCAGCCCAUCCCUGCAGGGUGAAGAUAAGCUUGUGCAGGCCACUGGCUAACACAGUUCAUCCCAUGCCUCCUACAUACCAAGCACUGUGCCAGGCACUUUUCACGUCUGGCAUCCUCAGAAUCCUCCAAAAGGUCGGAUUCAGACAAUCCGGUGGAGCACUCUGAAAUUUAGAGGAAGUGGUCAAAUAGAAUUUUCUGGAAUUAUGGAAAUCUUCUAUUCUGUGCAUCUAGUAUAGUAGAAUCUAGUCACAUGUGGCUUUUGAGAACUGGAAAUAUGGCUAAUGCAACAGAGAAAGUGAAUUUUUACUUUUGAUUCAUUUAAAUAUAAAUGGUCACAUAUGACAUCACUGCCAUAUUGGACAUUGCAGUUCUGGAAGAUGGCAGAUGCAGCCCUCAGAAGAAUUAUCAGCCUGAAUGUCUGGGCGGAGCAGAGCACUACCUUCCCACUCACUCUUCCCCUCCUCUCGCCCCCUCCCCUGCCUCACUUGCAUCAGAUUAUGAUGUGAGCAAAAGCAGGAAACAGCUCUUUUGAUAGGCCUGUGAGACUUGCUGUUCGUUGGAGUAGCUAGGCUGCUCUGACUCAUACAGACCCAAAUCCUGGCAACCACUUUUAUGAAGAAAUGACAAUUCAGUCUACUACUUGUCCAUUUUACAUGCCCAAGGAAUGUGAGGGGCCUCUGCUUGGAUCUAGUUUUCAACCUAGUCUAUGGCAUUGAUUAUCCUUUUAAAAGACAAAAGAGGUGACUUCACGGGCACUUAACAUCUUGGCCAUACUGACCCCAGUUGCACGCUACGUAGGAAGUUUUAGUCCAUUUAAACUGAAGUUCCAAUUUUUUUUUUAACAACUAUUUAAAAAUUGUACAUGUCCCAUACAUGACAGAGAAAGGGUUGUCUGGUUGGAUGAUUUUUGGCUUGCAAAAAGAGAACACAAAAGAAAAGCAUACGUUUUAAUACUCAAGAGACCAAAUUUUCUGCUGAAGAGGAAAUGAACUACAUAUCCAGAAGGGUCCUACCAAGAGGCCAAACAGACUGUGUUCUCUUGGGGGAGUUCUCAGUGGUGAUGAGAACACCACUUUUUUUUUUUUUUUAGUCAUUUUCAAGGUGAGAUAUUGACUUGCUGCUGGAGCAGGACAACUGGUCUCUCUUUCAUUGCUAGCAGCAGAGUAAGGGUCUUGCAAGUUUCAGGCAGCAGCAGAGAAAGGGUCUUGCAAGUUUCAGUCCAAAGCAAGAAGAGCUAGGAUUGCACCAGCUGUCUCACCUACUCUGUGCUCACCUGUUUCUGGAUGAAGCACGGUGACAUCUGUUUUAUUGUAAAGAGAACCAACUUUGGAAUCAAAUGGAACCUGUAUUAAAAUCCUGAAUCCGUCACUAGCUUGGACAAGUCACUUCACUUCUCUGAACCUUGUUUUAUUCCAGUUAAGAAUAAUAGUAAGCCAGUCCCACAGAGCUGUAGCAAGGUUAAAAUGAAUGGUUGUCUGUAGAAGCAUUUAAAAUAGGGCUUCAUACAGAGCCAGUACCUGGGGAGACUGAGGGUUUGAACCACAUAGUUCCACUCUGGCAAAUCACAGAGGGGCUGUAGGAUGGUCCUUUAAGGGGGAUGUGUUAUGGGUUAAUUGGAACAGUGCUUCUUAAACUCCAGUGUGCAUUCAUAUUGCUUAGGGGUUUUGUUUAAAUGCAGAUUCUGAGUUACUAGGAUUAUGCAAUUUGAAUGAGCUUGCAGAUAAUUUCAUGGCUGCUGGUCUCUGACAUCACCUUUGAGAAGCAAAGAAUUAAAGGUCCUGUCCUGAUCUGUCUCCUUCUCCUGUUAUCUGUGCAAAAGAGAUAUACUGUCUACUUUGCAUAGUGAGAUGGCAGGUACAAAAGUAGGAUGAGGAUAAUGUAGCAUGAGCACAGAGAAGGAAAACCUAGGAGGAUGAGUAAAGAAAUCAUGGGAAAAGAGAUAGAUUCAAGGCUUUCAAUCCUGACUAGACUUUAAAUUCACCUGGAGAGCUUUAAAAAAACUAGCCAUUGUCUGGUCCCAGGAAUACUGAUUUAAUUGAUUAGGAUGGGACCAGACAUGACAUGUUAAAGAAAAUAACUCCCCAGAUUAUUCUAGUGUGUAGCCAGGGUUAAGAACUGCUGGGCUAGACAAAUGAGACAACUUUCCCAGAUGGAAAGAAUCAGGAAGGGGCCUUAUCAAGAUAUUAUGUCAGGUUUGGUUUUCAGGGGGCUGAUAGGAAAGAAAAAGAAAUGCUUCAUGGAAAUUGCAGGUAAGACAGGCCAAUUGGUUGAAACCUUGACAAAUCAGACCAUUUGAUCAAAUUGUUCCCAAAAUAUGAAAACUCUGUCUCAACCGAAAUAAUCACUUAGCUCUGGGACUCUAAAGCAACCUGUUUGUCUGUUGGGAAGCUAGGGUAAAUGUGAGAAGUGAAAUCCAUGCCAUUUUUUGGAACUGGAGACUUUUUAAUAAUUUCAUUAACAUUGUCAGUUUGGUUGUCCUCUGUGAUCAGAAGCUGUCGAAUGAUGUUCAUUUGAGUACAGAAGCCAGCCCUUUCUGUAGCAUUAACCAGGCCUCAGUCCAGUGGAUCUCUACAGGGUGCCACGAGCCCAGCACAAGUGCUCCAACACAUUCUGACCAAUGAGCAUAAUUAAUUUGUUGUAAUUGACUUUACACUCUUGAAGCCCAGGUGUAGACUUCCUUCUUGUUACCAGAAGCCAGCUCAGACAUGGCCCUUUGCCAGCCUCAACACAAAGCUCAGCUCUCUUCCAGGGUUCCCUAAGAUCUAGGCACGUCAAGCAUCUGAAAAUAAUAUGGUUUUACAGAAGAUUCCUUACAUCCUGCGGUGGGGCCAGCUCAGGCACUGAACAACGUUUUGUUUGAGCAAUCCCCAUUGGACACAUCUCUCCCCCGAAUCCCUGUCUGCACAGCCAAUAAGGUGAUUCUCCUCUGUCACCCUCCUUAGCCCUUGCCCAUUCUUUUAUUCCUUUACAAGACAGCUGGGUUUAGCCCUGUCCUAAGUGCUCCACACUCGGCUGCCUGCACCCAGGCAUAGCAAACACAAAGCCCUUCGGAACCCCAGGCCCACCCUCUUUAGAUACAUGUUAUAAACUGUUACUGUUGAUGAGGUCAUUCCAGUGGGUGUCAAGCUGGGCACAGCUUCUGGUAAGAAGAAGAAAGCAUAGCAGAUUCACAUCUCAGCCAAAGAACCUGGCUGUGAAAAGCCUUUGCCUAAAAGGUCAUGCAGUCCACAGUUCUGCCACACAACUGCAGCCUGGAAUCACAUGGGGAGUUCUUAAAAUGCUGAUGGCUGGGCUGUACCCCUGAAAUUCUGAUUUAAUUGGCCUGGGGUGUGGCCUGGGCAUUAGAGUUUUGUUAAAGUUCCCAAGUCAUUCCUGCCAUGCUGCCAAAUUUGAGAGACGUUGUUCUAAAGAGGCUUAGCGAUAAAGGCCAAGUGAAAAGGACAACCAGUCCUACGUUAUAGUUGCAAUUGCUUUGUCCUUAUUACUGACCUGUUUGGUCUUGUUUUGAGUCUUUUAAUCCCUUCAACUGAACUCUCCAAAAUUCUACUAUUGGACAGUAUAGCACAGAAAGUUUGGG